rnacentral:tRNA from 1 species
GCCUUAUUAGCUCAGUGGUUAGAGCACUGGUCUCGUAAACCAGGGGUCCGGAGUUCAACUCUCUGAUAAAGGCU